GAUGAACGCUGGCGGCGUGCCUAACACAUGCAAGUCGAGCGAACAGACGAGGCUCUUGCUCCUCUGACGUUAGCGGCGGACGGGUGAGUAACACGUGGAUAACCUACCUAUAAUACUGGGAUCACUUCGGGAAACCGGCGCUUAUACCGGAUAAUAUAUUGAACCGCAUUGUUCAAUAGUGAAAUUCGGUUGUGCUGUCACUUAUAGAUGGUUCUGCGCGGCUUUAGCUGGUUGGUAAGGUAACGGCUUACCAAGGCAACGAUGCGUAGCCGACCUGUGAGGGUGGUAGGCGACAUUGGAACUGAGACACGGUCCAGACUCCUACGAGAGGCAGCAGUCGGGUAUGUUACGCAAUGGGGGAGAGCCUGACGGAGCAGGGCCGAGUGAGUGAUGAAGGUCUCCGGAGCGUAAAAACCUGUUAUUGGGGAAGAACAGAUGUGGACGGAACUAUGCCCGUCUUGACGGUAACGGAUAAGAAAGCACCGGCUAACUACGUG
rnacentral:rRNA from 1 species